GUCCACGCCGUAAACGAUGGGCACUAGAUGCCGGGCCUAUAGACGGGUUCGGUGUCGCAGCUAACGCAUUAAGUGCCCCGCCUGGGGGAGUACGGCCGCAAGGCUGAAACUCAAAGGAAUUGACGGGGGCCCGCACAAGCGGUGGAGCAUGUGGUUUAAUUCGAAGCAACGCGAAGAACCUUACCUGGGCUUGACAUACUUGUGAAACCCCCUGGAAACAGGGGGCCUCCUUCGGGACACAUGUACAGGUGCUGCAUGGCUGUCGU
rnacentral:rRNA from 1 species